AUUGAACGCUGGCGGCAGAAGUAAAAGAGGAAAGUCGAGCGAGCGGCGGACGGGUGAGUAAUGUCUGGGAAACUGCCUGAUGGAGGGGGAUAACUACUGGAAACGGUAGCUAAUACCGCAUACCAUCAGAUGUGCCCAGAUGGGAUUAGCUAGUAGGUGGGGUAAUGGCUCACCAAGGCGACGAUCCCUAGCUGGUCUGAGAGGAUGACCAGCCACACUGGAACUGAGACACGGUCCAGACUCCGACGGGAGGCAGCAGUGGGGAAUAUGGAACAAUGGGCGCAAGCCUGAUGCAGCCAGGCCGAGUGUGUGAAGAAGGCCUUCGGGUUGUAAAGCACUUUAAGCGAGGAGGCGUUACUCGCAGAAGAAGCACCGGCUAACUCCGUGCCCGCAGCCGCGGUAAUAC
rnacentral:rRNA from 1 species